UCGACGGAGCCUUAACCAAAGAAGCAGCCAGCUUGCUGGAAGCGGAAUAGGGAAAGGCUUAGUGGCGGACGGGUGAGUAACGCGUGGGUAACCUGGCCCAUACAGGGGGAUAACACUUAGAAAUAGGUGCUAAUACCGCAUAACAACAGAAAGCGCAUGCUUUUUGUUUGAAAACCAAGGUGGUAUGGGAUGGACCCGCGUCUGAUUAGCCGGUUGGCGGGGUAAAGGCCCACCAAGGCGACGAUCAGUAGCCGGCCUGAGAGGGUGGACGGCCACAUUGGGACUGAGACACGGCCCAAACUCCUACGGGAGGCAGCAGUGGGGAAUAUUGCACAAUGGGGGAAACCCUGAUGCAGCGACGCCGCGUGAGUGAAGAAGUAAUUCGUUAUGUAAAGCUCUAUCAGCAGGGAAGAAAAUGACGGUACCUGAGUAAGAAGCCCCGGCUAACUACGUGCCAGCAGCCGCGGUAAUACGUAGGGGGCAAGCGUUAUCCGGAUUUACUGGGUGUAAAGGGAGCGUAGACGGCAGUGCAAGUCUGGAGUGAAAGGCGGGGGCUCAACCCCCGGACUGCUCUGGAAACUGUACGGCUGGAGUGCAGGAGAGGUAAGUGGAAUUCCUAGUGUAGCGGUGAAAUGCGUAGAUAUUAGGAGGAACACCAGUGGCGAAGGCGGCUUACUGGACUGUAACUGACGUUGAGGCUCGAAAGCGUGGGGAGCAAACAGGAUUAGAUACCCUGGUAGUCCACGCCGUANACGAUGAUCACUAGGUGUCGGGNGUUAAAGAACCUUCGGUGCCGCAGCCAACGCAGUAAGUGAUCCACCUGGGGAGUACGUUCGCAAG
rnacentral:rRNA from 1 species